GUGCCAGCAGCCGCGGUAAUACAGAGGGUGCGAGCGUUAAUCGGAAUUACUGGGCGUAAAGCGCGCGUAGGUGGUUUGUUAAGUUGGAUGUGAAAGCCCCGGGCUCAACCUGGGAACUGCAUCCAAAACUGGCAAGCUAGAGUAUGGCAGAGGGUGGUGGAAUUUCCUGUGUAGCGGUGAAAUGCGUAGAUAUAGGAAGGAACACCAGUGGCGAAGGCGACCACCUGGGCUAAUACUGACACUGAGGUGCGAAAGCGUGGGGAGCAAACAGGAUUAGAUACCCGGGUAGUCC
rnacentral:rRNA from 1 species